rnacentral:rRNA from 1 species
GCGAUUUCCGAAUGGGGAAACCCAGUGUGACUCGUCACACUAUCAUUAACUGAAUCCAUAGGUUAAUGAGGCGAACCGGGGGAACUGAAACAUCUAAGUACCCCGAGGAAAAGAAAUCAACCGAGAUUCCCCCAGUAGCGGCGAGCGAACGGGGAGGAGCCCAGAGCCUGAAUCAGCAUGUGUGUUAGUGGAAGCGUCUGGAAAGGCGCGCGAUACAGGGUGACAGCCCCGUACACAAAAGCGCAUGUGCUGUGAGCUCGAUGAGUAGGGCGGGACACGUGGUAUCCUGUCUGAAUAUGGGGGGACCAUCCUCCAAGGCUAAAUACUCCUGACUGACCGAUAGUGAACCAGUACCGUGAGGGAAAGGCGAAAAGAACCCCGGCGAGGGGAGUGAAAAAGAACCUGAAACCGUGUACGUACAAGCAGUGGGA